rnacentral:rRNA from 1 species
CCUACGGGCGGCAGCAGUAGGGAAUAUUGCUCAAUGGGGGAAACCCUGAAGCAGCCACGCCGCGUGGGGGAUGAAGGUUCUCGGAUUGUUAACCCCUUUUGUUCAAGAAGCUAAUGCCGGUACCUAUCGACUAAGCACCGGCUAACUCCGUGCCAGCUGCCGCGGGAAUACGGCGGGUGCAAGCGUUAUUCGGAAUCACUGGGCGUAAAGGGCGCGUAGGCGGGAUAGCAAGUCAGAUGUGAAAUCCUAUGGCUUAACCAUAGAACUGCAUUUGAAACUGUUAGUCUAGAGUAUGGGAGAGGUAGGUGGAAUGCUUGGUGUAGGGGUAAAAUGCAUAGAGAUCAAGAAGAAUACUCAUUGCGAAGGCGACCUGCUAGAACAUAACUGACGCUGAUGCGCGAAAGCGUGGGGAGCAAACAGGAUUAGAUACCCUUGUAGUC